GCGCGCUAUUGUUUGGGUGUGUGUGUGGGAGUUGAUGUGUUGUGCUGCUGAAGAUGUCUCCAUUUCGGUUAAGACUGUGCUGUGUUGAGUGACUUAAUGAUACGAGAACUGGCCAGGUUUUUUGUAUUGAUGGCGAGCUACUAGGCCCUGAACCAAAGACUGGGAGUGCAAGCAUCUGCCGGUGUGGUAGGAGGCGCUGCAGUCGCUCCCCUCGCAUACCAUUAUACACCCUUGCACAUCCUUAUUACAUAUCUUCAUGCACAUUCAUUUCUGCUUUAUGGACUGAUCUUUCUUGAACUCUCUUUGAUUGUCGGACGUUGCUUAUUGCGUGGGUGAUAUAUGAACAGUUGCAGCACUUAAAUUCUUCAAUCCAUGUAUACAUUCUGAGGACACUUGAAUGGUUCAAGAAUCAUUUUGAACUCAAUACUAUCUAUGUGUAUAUGUAAAUGUUGUCAAAUUAUUUCACUGUAAUAUACUUCACCACUGAGUAUUGCAAUUUUGUGUCUGUCUCAUUGAACACACCAUUUUCCUCCUUGAGCUGAAUUUAGUCUUCUGAUAUUGGUCCAUUAUUUUAAUCUGCUAUUGCAGUAUUUAUACACG